GACGAACGCUGGCGGCGUGCCUAAUACAUGCAAGUAGAACGCUGACGGAGGAGCUUGCUUCUCUGGAUGAGUUGCGAACGGGUGAGUAACGCGUAGGUAACCUGCCUUGUAGCGGGGGAUAACUAUUGGAAACGAUAGCUAAUACCGCAUAAGAGUAGAUGUUGCAUGACAUUUGCUUAAAAGGUGCAAUUGCAUCACUACCAUAUGGACCUGCGUUGUAUUAGCUAGUUGGUGGGGUAACGGCUCACCAAGGCGACGAUACAUAGCCGACCUGAGAGGGUGAUCGGCCAAACUGGGACUGAGAAACGGGCCAGACUCCUACGGGAGGCAGCAGUAGGGAAUCUUCGGCAAUGGACGGAAGUCUGACCGAGCAACGCCGCGUGAGUGAAGAAGGUUUUCGGAUCGGAAAGCUCUGUUGUAAGAGAAGAAAGAGCGUGAGAGUGGAAAGUUCACACUGUGACGGUAUCUUACCAGAAAGGGACGGCUAACUACGUG
rnacentral:rRNA from 1 species